UUUUUUUUUUGUUUUUUUUUGUCUACUAAGAAUUUGAUGCACAUGUAAAUUUUUCCUAAAAUCAUACAAGUAGAUUUUUAUGUGUUGUGAACACUUGUCUUCUUUAGAAUCAUGUCCAUUUUAGGUGUUGUGAACGCUUGUCUUCGUUAGAAUUAUGACCAUGUAAUGUGUUGUGAACGCUUGUCUUCUUUAGAAUCAUGCCCAUGUUAAGUCUCAUAACUUUUAUAAAAUUGGAAUUGUAGUUUUUAACUUUUAAAAUGUGGUAUACAGCGUAUAUACUAUGAACUUUGUGUAUUUACAUGAACUAGAAGUUGCUAGACUUUAAUAAAAUAUUGAAUGUGAAUUAAUCUGCAUCUGUAUUGUGAGCGCUGACGUUAAGCACAGUGUUAGUAAUGGUAUAACGUUACUCGACGUAGUUUCAACCGACUUCAGUACAAAACGUCCAAGCUUUGCACUAUUUAUAAUACAGCUGGCAUUUUGAUGUUUAACUACUUAUUUAAAAAAAUUAGACUGUUAACAUGACUGGUUAUAUAUUUUUGACUAAUAAACUUUCCAUUCUCAAUUUUAUUUAUUUCCUCAUAAUCUUAACUUAUUGAAAGUUUAUAUUUCAAAUAUUUGUCACUGCCCAAGCAUGUCAAUUGUUGCAAAAUGCAUAUCCUUACUAUACUACUAACAUCACAAAUAUGUAUCUUUCCAGAAGAUUAUAAUGAAAAAUAAUCCUCGUUCGGGUCUAUGGCAGCCACCGCGCUACUAUAUAUCCCCUUUUUGCUUGAUCUAUAAUUUCAAUUUCAUCUUCAACUUUUGGAACGAAAACUGCAGUUUGGAAUUGUUCAUUUUAUUUAAAAUUUAGAAGUAAUCUACAGCCCUUAAAAUAUAAUAUUAAUUUGCACAUGCGUCAGUUUGUCGGAUGCGUGGAAAUUACUGUUAGUGUAUACAACAAAUAUUCGUACUAGCAGAAACAUAUCUGUUACUAGGUUCCAAAGUCGGAAGGUUCGGUAUAAUAGAAAACUUAUUAUUUAAGAUCAGCACAUGAUUUACAAAACUUUGAUAGAAGUCAAACUUUCUUGUUGAUUUAUUACCUCUUCAAAUAAAUUACUAAAAAUUAUCUCCAAAGAAUAUAUCAUCACACAGGACGUGCCAAAUGCGUUACAUUAACGUUCCGUGCAAAAAACGUUCAAUUCGGACGUGGUAACAAUUUGGGGAGACAUGGACAACUUGAUGGAAAUUGAUGAAAAAUGUAGCGUUACCUUAACAUUGAAGGCUUAAACAAAUCUUUUAAAAAAUUACAAUUUGUUUUCAUAGUUCAAAUAUUUUAGUCUCGGACAUCAUCAUUUCUUGAAAUGUAUAUAUUCAGCCGUAAACUAGUUAUUGUUAGUGUAAUAACAGAAACCUGUAGAAGGGACUUAACAGACAUAUAACAUAAUUCGGACAUUACUCAAAAUCUAGGAAUUUCUUUUACUUAGGCAUUCAACAAAACACAGCAACCUAGUUUUGAUUAGAUGUGCAUUCGAGCAACCUAGUAUCACACAAGCAUAAAAAAUUACAACAAUAUGACAUCACACAGGCAUGAAACAAGUCCAGCAUCCUGAUACAUCAUAGACAUGCAUCAAAUCUAGUAACCAGAUAUGACACAGGUAUGCAACAAAUCAAGACUGGCAUUCAACUGAUGUUUUUCAUUUGUUCUUAUGUUGUGCUGUUACAACACUCACUGUCCCGGGUAAGGGAUGGUUAACAUGCUUAACACAACCUCUUUCUUGAUAUGCCGAUACUAGUCAGGAGCCUGUACUUCAGUGGAUGGUGUUGGUUCUUGUCUGUAAUAUUUGUCUUUCGUAAAAACAUUUUUUUUAUAUCAAUCAUGCCGUAAGUUUUCUUGUUUGAAUUGUUUCACAUUUAUUUAUGUAUGGACCUUGUAUAGAUGACUGA
rnacentral:lncRNA from 1 species